UUGCUACUUGGAUACCUGUGGUAAUUCUAGAGCUAAUACAUGCUAAAAACCUCGACUUCGGGAGGGGUGUAUUUAUUAGAUAAAAAACCAAUGCCCUUCGGGGCUUCUUGGUGAUUCAUAAUAACUCAACGAAUCGCAUGGCCUUGCGCCGGCGAUGGUUCAUUCAAAUUUCUGCCCUAUCAACUUUCGAUGGUAGAGUAGUGGUCUACCAUGGUUUCUACGGGUAACGGGGAAUUGUAAGUAGAUCUAAGUGAUGCUCCGGGGGCUCCAGAAGGCUAACUAUUCUUUCCAGAGGGUUCUAUUCCGGAGAGGGAGCCUGAGAAACGUAAGUGGAUAUCGAAAUCGUGGGCUUCGAUCUGUGGCUAAUUGUCCCUAGGGCUACCACAUCCAAGGAAGGCAGCAGGCGCGCAAAUUACCCAAUCCCAACACGGGGAGGUAGUGAGUCUACCCCUAGUCAUGCGUANGAAGCCCAAGGGUAUACGCUAACGUUCGGUUUUCUAGGUGACAAUAAAUACUGAUGAUGGGAUCUUUCGGUUCUAUCAAUUGGAAUGAGUACAAUUUAAAUCCCUUAACGAGGAACAAUUGGAGGGCAAGUCUGGUGCCAGCAGCCGCGGUAAUUCCAGCUCCAAUAGCGUAUAUUAAAGUUGUUGCAGUUAAAAAGCUCGUAGUUGAAGCUUGGGCCUGGCUGGCCGGUCCGCCUCACCGCGUGCACUGGUCCGGCCGGGUCUUUCCUUCUGGGGAACCGCAUGCCCUUUAUUGGGCGUGCGUCGGGGAACCAGGACUUUUACUUUGAAAAAAUUAGAGUGUUCAAAGCAGGCCUAUGCUCGAAUACAUUAGCAUGGAAUAAUAGAAUAGGACGUGGGGUUCUAUUUUGUUGGUUUCUAGGACCGCCGUAAUGAUUAAUAGGGAUAGUCGGGGGCAUCAGUACUUAGCUGUCAGAGGUGAAAUUCUUGGAUUUGCUAAAGACUAACUACUGCGAAAGCAUUUGCCAAGGAUGUUUUCAUUAAUCAGUGAACGAAAGUUAGGGGAUCGAAGACGAUCAGAUACCGUCGUAGUCUUAACCAUAAACUAUGCCGACUAGGGAUCGGACGGUGUUAUUAUUUUGACCCGUUCGGCACCUUACGAGAAAUCAAAGUCUUUGGGUUCUGGUAAGUCGUGUCGCCGCCUAUUUGCAGCCUGGGGCUCGGAUGCUAAUUCUCGCUAGGGGGGAGUAUGGUCGCAAGGCUGAAACUUAAAGAUAUUGACGGAAGGGCACCACCAGGCGUGGAGCCUGCGGCUUAAUUUGACUCAACACGGGGAAACUCACCAGGUCCAGACAUAAUAAGGAUUGACAGAUUGAGAGCUCUUUCUUGAUUUUAUGGGUGGUGGUGCAUGGCCGUUCUUAGUUGGUGGAGUGAUUUGUCAGCUUAAUUGCGAUAACGAACGAGACCUUAACCUGCUAAAUAGCCCGGCCAACCUUGGNUGACCGCCGGCUUCUUAGAGGGACUAUCGGCUCAAGCCGAUGGAAGUUUGAGGCAAUAACAGGUCUGUGAUGCCCUUAGAUGUCCUGGGCCGCACGGUACGUAUCGGGUGCCUAUCUAUUUUUCCGGGCUCUAGCUAACGGAGGUUCUAGCGCGCUACACUGACAGAGACAACGAGUACAUCACCUUGGCCGAAAGGCUUGGGUAAUCUUGUUAAACUCUGUCGUGCUGGGGAUAGAGCAUUGCAAUUAUUGCUCUUCAACGAGGAAUGCCUAGUAAGCGCAAGUCAUCAGCUUGCGUUGAUUACGUCCCUGCCCUUUGUACACACCGCCCGUCGCUACUACCGAUUGAAUGGCUCAGUGAGGCCUUCGGACUGGCCCAGGGAGGUCGGCAACGACCACCCAGGGUCGGGAAGUUGGUCAAACUUGGUCAUUUAGAGGAAG
rnacentral:rRNA from 1 species